rnacentral:tRNA from 1 species
GGGCGAGUGGCGGAAUUGGUAUACGCUGCGGACUUAAAAUCCGUUGCCGCAAGGCUUGAGGGUUCAAGUCCCUCCUCGCCCACCA